AUGAGAGUUUAAUGGAAGGGACCCCUGACUCCCAGUCUGACAGGUCACAGUCUGAUAUCUUUGCUGAGUUGGAUGAUCUGGCCCCUCGCUCAAGUUCCUGUGUGUCUCCAGACCACCCAGCCGGGAGUCAAACUGACCGAUCCUCACCUAUCAAAGAUCUGAGUCCUGGACUUGUGGCACUAACUGUGGGAUGUGAUUCAGGUGAUCUGGGAUCUUUGUCCCGUGUGCAGCUCCUGCUAUUGGAGCGAAGAGGAUCCAAGAGUCCAGGAUCCAUCCCAAGCCCUGAAUGGUGUCAUACUUCGGACGGGGAGGAGUAUGAACCUGACCUUAGAGCUCGGGCAUUCCCCAAUAUUAUCAGUCCACAGCCCUGGACAACCGCAAACCAUUAAGUGGCAGAAACAGCGGCCAAGAUUCUUUGGCAACUUUCAAGGGACGUAGAAAGUGGCCCGGGGUGAGUACGCCACUCAUAAAACCAUUUCAACACACACAUAGAGGAAUCUAUGAGCCACU
ensembl:lncRNA